UACGUAGGGUGCAAGCGUUGCCCGGAUUCAUUGGGCGUAAAGCGCGCGCAGGCGGCUCCGCACGUCCCGCGUGAAAUCGCCCGGCUCAACCGGGCGGGGUCGCGGGCGACGGCGGGGCUCGAGCGAGGGAGGGGGCAGUGGAAUUCCCGGUGUAGUGGUGGAAUGCGUAGAUAUCGGGAGGAACACCGGUGGCGAAGGCGGUUCUCUGGGCCUUACCUGACGCUGAGGAGCGAAAGCGUGGGGAGCGAACAGG
rnacentral:rRNA from 1 species